rnacentral:rRNA from 1 species
CACCAGGUUGAUUCUGCCUGACGUAGAUGCUAGUCUCUAAGAUUAAGCCAUGCAUGUCCAGUGAACUCUCAGAGGGAACGACGAACGGCUCAGUAAUACUGCGAUGAUUUGCCCUGUCCAGAUAUAUAACUACGGGAAACUGUAGCUAAGAGGACAGGAUAAGACGCAGACCUAUCAGCUAGUUGGUAGUGUAAUGGACUACCAAGGCAGUCACGGGUAACGGGAAAUUAGGGUUUUAUCCCGGAGAGGGAGCCUGAGAGAUGGCUCCCACGUCCAUGGACGGCAGCAGGCGCGGAAAUUGCCCACUCUUGCAGGAGGAGUCAGUUAUGAGACAUGUGCGAAAGAACAGACUGCAAAGCGGUCUGUGUGAUGCGAUUGGAGGGCAAGUUUGGUGCCAGCAGCCGCGG